GCCCCAGGGACCCCCCGCACGGAGGUGGCUGUGUCGGCAACAGUGGUGUCACAGUAGAUGCAGUCUGACCUGAGCCAUGAAGAAGUGCAGAGUCCCCAAGAGGCCAGAGAGCUCACGUCUGGUUAGAGUCGGGGUGUUUGAUGGGAAGAUGAAAGGAGGAGCUGGCAUCUGAGGAGAACCAUGGAGAGGAGGGGAGGCUGGACCGGGCUUCACCUCACACGGUGCAGGAAUGGCCACAAAGUCCUGAUGAAGAGCAGCCCCUGCGGGACAUCCCUGACAAACAACCCUACAGCUUCUGCUUGAGUCUCCCCAGCAUGGGGAACUCACCACCUUCCAAGGCACCUCUCUUGUAAAUGAAGAAAUUAAAACUGCAAGUUGAAACUGAGUCACUGAUGGCGCCAGAUGUUUCUGGAGCAAAACUGGGAAAGAGGGUGAGCAUUGGAAAGACACCUCCUCCUGUUAUCUUCGAGAAGCCAUUUACUGGGAAAACAAAAACUGAGCUCCAUGAUGCAUAAAUUCCAAAA
rnacentral:lncRNA from 1 species